rnacentral:rRNA from 1 species
CGCUCAGGACGAACGCUGGCGGCGUGCCUAAUACAUGCAAGUCGAGCGGACAGAUGGGAGCUUGCUCCCUGAUGUUAGCGGCGGACGGGUGAGUAACACGUGGGUAACCUGCCUGUAAGACUGGGAUAACUCCGGGAAACCGGGGCUAAUACCGGAUGGUUGUUUGAACCGCAUGGUUCAAACAUAAAAGGUGGCUUCGGCUACCACUUACAGAUGGACCCGCGGCGCAUUAGCUAGUUGGUGAGGUAACGGCUCACCAAGGCGACGAUGCGUAGCCGACCUGAGAGGGUGAUCGGCCACACUGGGACUGAGACACGGCCCAGACUCCUACGGGAGGCAGCAGUAGGGAAUCUUCCGCAAUGGACGAAAGUCUGACGGAGCAACGCCGCGUGAGUGAUGAAGGUUUUCGGAUCGUAAAGCUCUGUUGUUAGGGAAGAACAAGUACCGUUCGAAUAGGGCGGUACCUUGACGGUACCUAACCAGAAAGCCACGGCUAACUACGUGCCAGCAGCCGCGGUAAUACGUAGGUGGCAAGCGUUGUCCGGAAUUAUUGGGCGUAAAGGGCUCGCAGGCGGUUUCUUAAGUCUGAUGUGAAAGCCCCCGGCUCAACCGGGGAGGGUCAUUGGAAACUGGGGAACUUGAGUGCAGAAGAGGAGAGUGGAAUUCCACGUGUAGCGGUGAAAUGCGUAGAGAUGUGGAGGAACACCAGUGGCGAAGGCGACUCUCUGGUCUGUAACUGACGCUGAGGAGCGAAAGCGUGGGGAGCGAACAGGAUUAGAUACCCUGGUAGUCCACGCCGUAAACGAUGAGUGCUAAGUGUUAGGGGGUUUCCGCCCCUUAGUGCUGCAGCUAACGCAUUAAGCACUCCGCCUGGGGAGUACGGUCGCAAGACUGAAACUCAAAGGAAUUGACGGGGGCCCGCACAAGCGGUGGAGCAUGUGGUUUAAUUCGAAGCAACGCGAAGAACCUUACCAGGUCUUGACAUCCUCUGACAAUCCUAGAGAUAGGACGUCCCCUUCGGGGGCAGAGUGACAGGUGGUGCAUGGUUGUCGUCAGCUCGUGUCGUGAGAUGUUGGGUUAAGUCCCGCAACGAGCGCAACCCUUGAUCUUAGUUGCCAGCAUUCAGUUGGGCACUCUAAGGUGACUGCCGGUGACAAACCGGAGGAAGGUGGGGAUGACGUCAAAUCAUCAUGCCCCUUAUGACCUGGGCUACACACGUGCUACAAUGGACAGAACAAAGGGCAGCGAAACCGCGAGGUUAAGCCAAUCCCACAAAUCUGUUCUCAGUUCGGAUCGCAGUCUGCAACUCGACUGCGUGAAGCUGGAAUCGCUAGUAAUCGCGGAUCAGCAUGCCGCGGUUGAAUACGUUCCCGGGGCCUUGUACACACCGCCCCGUCACACCACGAAGAGUUUGUAACACCCGGAAGUCGGUGAGGUAACCUUUUAGGAGCCAGCCGCCGAAGGUGGGACAGAUGAUUGGGGUGAAUCUAAGAAA